rnacentral:rRNA from 1 species
UACAGAGGUCUCAAGCGUUUGUUCGGAUUCAUUGGGGCGUAAAGGGUGCGUAGGCGGCGCGGUAAGUCGGGUGUGAAAUCUCGGGGCUUAACUCCGAAACUGCAUUCGAUACUGCCGUGCUUGAGGACUGGAGAGGAGACUGGAAUUUACGGUGUAGCGGUGAAAUGCGUAGAUAUCGUAAGGAAGACCAGUGGCGAAGGCGGGUC